rnacentral:tRNA from 1 species
GCGGGCUUAGCUCAGAUGGGAGAGCGUCAGACUGAAGUCUUUCUUUAAAAAGAAAGGAAAGAUUUAGUCACAUAUCUGAAGGUCCUGUGUUCGAUCCACAGAGCUCGCA